rnacentral:lncRNA from 1 species
UGCUUGAGUGCAGAAGGCCUUUGGUUCCAGCCCACGGGAAUACAGAGCAUCUGGAUGUAAGGAUUGGAGGACGUGCUGUGUUCCAGUGUGACCCUGGAUACACAUUAAAGGGUUUCAGGAUGGCCACCUGUUUAUUGGAUGGGUCAUGGAGUACACCAAGUCCACAGUGUGUGCCUGACCAAAACUGCGGCAUUCCUCCAAAGCCAGAGCAUGGUGAUCACUUCCUCGUUUAUGGACCAAAUGAUGUAAUUAUUGCUAUACAGUAUUUCUGCUAUAAGCUAUACAAACUGAAUGGAAUCCCUCAGAGAACCUGUCUGGGCAAUAACACUUGGAGUGGGACAGCACCAACCUGUGUCAAAGAGCUGGACAAAAUUCCUGCAGCAGAUACUGAACAAAACCAAGGCAAACACAGACCUACCGGACAAGACGAACUGGCCCUUGCCAAGAACAAAACUUCACAAGAAAAAGAAAAUGAGUCAAAAACAGUCAAAGAUAUAAAACCACAAAAGCCUACCCCUGGAAAAGAUAACGUGGGGCAAGAUGGAAAGUUUGGCGAAGACAUGGGCAUAGAUUUUGGGAGAGAUUUUGUAAAAGAAAAACCUAAAGCUGAAAACAAAGAUGCUGAUAGCAGCAUUAACACAAUCAGAAAGAAGGAAACUGGAGAGGAUAAGGACGCUCUUAAACCCUUUGACAAAGACGCACAUUUAGAUAUCGGAAAGAAAGUUGGAAGUCCAACAAAAGAUUUGGGCAUGGAAUAUAUAGAUAUUGUCUUGAUAGACAAUAGGAUGGCCAAUAAUCAGACCACAAAGGCUGACAAAACCAAGGAUGGUGGAAUGGACAAAGGACAAAAAAGAAUCGAUGGACCUCAAUUACACAAUAUUAAGCCUGACUGAAGAUGAGAAAGACAAUAUUCUUUAUGAAAUAGAUACAAUACACAAAGGAAAUAACACUAAAUUUUUCAAUAGGAAUGACAUAGAAAAUUUGGGGACACUGUUUGAAGAAACUGAGCAACUCCCAUCAGCUACUAUUGGAAAUUACAACACAACAGUCAUGCCAACCGUGAGCAAAACAACUGAUAAAAUGACAAUGAUGGCUAAACCUAUGGAAAAGGUCAAAGUGGAUACAGUGAACGUAAAGACGUCAGAACAGGAUUUACAACAAGAGACAAAAAACGAUCUCAACAAAACACAGACAUGGAAGGUGAAUCUGGGCAGAUUAUUGGUAACACAAUUAAAUGUUUUAUAGUGAUUUAUACAGUUUAAUUGCUUUUUCAAUAAUUAUGUCCAGUCUUUGUUAAUGGUUGCCACAAGUAUAUUUUUACCAGGAUGACAUAAUUAAAUAAUUGUACACCAUUUUGAAUCAGGUUUUAAUAUUUUAUUAGCUAAACAAACGCAAAGCUUCCACCAAGAAAAAAAACAUAGUACAAGCAAGAGUACAGCGCCGACCGGUGUUACCCGGAUGAGCCUGUGUUAUUAGCUUUCACAGGCUGUUAUCCAGGAAUAACAUACCUCGGAAUGUCACGGCUGACCAAUCAGAAUCAAGUAUUCCACAGAGCCGUGUAAUAUAUAUAUAUAUAUAUAUAUGUGUGUGUGUGUGUGUGUGUGUGUGUCUGUGUGGUGGUGUAGGUGGGGUGUGUGGAAAGUCACAAGAGGGGGCUCACCAGCCUGGGGGGAAAAACGCAGAAAAUAUAUAUACAAAUACUUUAGCUAAAGUAAAAAUACUUUAGUCUAAAGUAAUAUGUUAAUGCUUUAAGUUAAUACUUGUUCAGAACAAUCACUUUGGCAAAGUUUAUAUUGACAAAAUGAAAAAAAAAAAAAAAAAAACAACGAAACAAUUCAGCCAUCUAUUUAUUAUCAUGCUAAUUUUUGUGCUUUAGCGCCAAUGGCAGGUGCACAUUUUUACCCCAAAUACCGUACUUUUACAUAUUCUUCUGUCAUUGAAAAACUGCUGCUUUAAUUACUUUGAGUUGAUCAUUUUACCUUUUCUUCUUAAAUUUACAACAUUUACAAAAAAAAAAAUGAGAUAAAUAUUAGAUAAUAUUAUAAUAUUGUAUAUUAUAUAUUUAGAUAAUAUUAGCUAAAAUUAGCUAGAAUCAACCUUGUAUUGCUGUCCAUGGAUCAGCCAAAUAUCCAUGUGCAUAUCCGUGGUUGUUAAGAAAUGUGUUGAGGUGAAUUUUGGCACCAUCUAGUGGUUUAAAGGAGAAUAAGGUAAAAUGUGCUUUUUGACCUUGUGCACAUUUAGCCCCAUUGUACCCUACUAAAUAGACAACCCAAUCAGUGUAGAGAAAUAAAUAUGAGCCAGUUCUUUUUAGUGAAUCAAAAAUGUACAACACAACCAGUGUUGUCUGAUUUCAAAAUGAAUUGAAAUUAUCUGAUUCUUUGGCACUGGAGUUGCGUUUCUUUUUUGCAAAUAUUUAUUCGUUAAAAGUACUAUAAGAAUUGUUAAUGGAACCAUUACGGAACUGGAAUUGUUAAGAUAAAUUGGAACUGAUAAAUUCUUCCCAACUCACAUCCAUAAUAAAAAUCUACCUCUCACAUUUCCCAAAACAAAAGAUGGUAACACUUUAGAAUACUGCUCCAUCAUUAAUGAAUAACUUCACAAGAACACGAGUAAUGCAAUAUUAGCACUCUAGUAACUACAAGUAUCUAACAACUCACUAAUUAAUGAAUUAGUGAGUAAUAGUGCUUAGUCGAAUGUGGUAGUUCCCUAUUAGCUAAUCAGUAACUACUUUUUUCUUUUUCUUUUCCAUACGUCCCCCCCCCAAAAAACCCCCAUGAAAAUCAGUUAGAAUAUACUUAAGUAGAUUUGUUAGCAAGUAAAAUAUAUAAUAAAUGGGUAAAUUCUACUUACACUACCUAUUUGUUCACAGUAAUAACUGCAAAAAGAAAAAAAAAAGUAAAAUAUACCCAAAAAUAUUAGCUCUGGCACCUCAAAGUGCGCAUGUGUGAUCCCACAGCUGAGGAGAACACAUCCUGAUAGCAAGCAACCACUGAAUCGAUGUUAGAAAUAGUUGAUUUGUCAGUGUUAACGGCACUGAAAUAACAUUACUUUUGCACCUGUAAUUAAUGUUGAAAUAAUGUAGAAAUUUCAUCAAAACACCAUUAUUGCGAUCAGCAUUUGCUUUAGUUUGGCUCUUGACUCGUUGUACUUCAAUGUUAGGUUAGGUAAAAAUGUGUUCAAAAGCAUUUGCUGAAGCAAUGAAAACUAAGAUCUUUUGGGAUCGGCUGAUGGUGACUGUAAUCUUUGUGAGGAUGGUGUACUGUAAUACUUUGUUGUAGAAUGUUUUAAUUAAUUGUUGUGUUUUUUAUUAUGUGAAUGAUAAGCGACACUGCAGUGUAAGAUUAAAGCACGGGGACAGCUGUCAUACUUCUGUCAAUUAAUCACUUGUUAAAUUGCUGAAUUAAUUUGACUUCAAGAAUCAGCAUAUGGAACUCAACAAUGGUGAAAAUCAACAAAAGAAAAAUUUAGCUGGAAUGCAUGCUGGGUAUCAACGUAGUACAAAAACUCAAUCAAUACUCCCAGCAUCCAUUGCUGUUGAUCUAUUUAACUGAAUUAGUUUGAUGAUUGUCACCACCAAAAUGAUCAACCCUUUUUAUAUUAUUUAUCAUUUUUAUUAUAGGUUGGCAUCCAUCACAAGACAUAUAAUGCACUAUAAUCCACCUUAACUUUAAAAUGUUCUUCUUUAUUAAUGCAGAAGUAUUUAUGUUGAAACACUACAUAUUAUAAGCAUGACAAAUACUGAAAAGCAAAGAAACUAAGAAACGCUGAUCAAAAUAAUGGUGGUUUGUUAAAAUUUCAACAUUUUCCUAUUGGCUAUUAUUAUGAAUAAUAAUUUAGCAGAUUAACUUUUGCCUGCUAAAAUUGUUAAUAUUGCUAAACUUUUAUAGGUAAUUAUUUAUUAUAUGUGUAUUGUAUUGAAAAAUAUUAGGUAUACUUUACGUUUUUUUUUUUUUUAGUUUGUCAGAGCUGUUAAAUGUAGGAAUUCUUUACCCAAAUAUUACACUGUAAAAGCCUUGUCUUAAACCAUGGCUUAAACUUUUAAAACUUUGCAGUUUAGUAAUUAAGUGAUUAAUUAAGUGCUGAUUGAGCAUUAGUGAUGAACAGCUGCUGUUAACAAACAACAGCACAAGACCUACUACAACUGACUUCAGCCACAGACGAAGAUGAAAUCAACUGAAAUAAAAUACAUGAAAUCUCUCAAGAUCUGAUUAAACAACCCCACAAACAGCAUCACCAGCUCCACUUAUUAGUAACCAGACUGACUUUACUUCUGUCAGACGUCUACAGAAGAUCUGAUCGAGAAUUAACUAAGGUUUAGAUGUUGAUUUAGAUGUUGAACCAUGUUAGAGAUCAGUGUUUGCUUUAGUUGGGCUCUUGUCUUAGGUUUUUUUCCCGCUGGUUGUUGUAACCAUGAGUUCCUGAAACAUAUUUGUUAUAACUGCAUGUUUGCUGCAUGUUUUUUUAAAAACACAUCAAAAAUAAUUAAGGUUUUGAGGGUAAAAAAACCCCAAAAUGUACAAGUCGCAUUUUAUUACAUUCAGAAAUAAUAACGCAAGGCCUAAUAAUGUUAUAAUGUAGCACCAUUAUAAACACUAUAGGAAAUUUUGACUUUGGCCUCGCUGGAGGUGCGAGGCUUUAGGCCCCUCCCAGCUCGUUAUUAGCCCUGGCUCGCAAAGCGGCUAAUUACUACUGUGCUUUUGGGUGCCCUAUUAAACAAUAACCAUUUUA